UACGGAGGGAGCUAGCGUUAUUCGGAAUUACUGGGCGUAAAGCGCACGUAGGCGGCUUUGUAAGUUAGAGGUGAAAGCCCGGAGCUCAACUCCGGAACUGCCUUUAAGACUGCAUCGCUUGAAUCCAGGAGAGGUGAGUGGAAUUCCGAGUGUAGAGGUGAAAUUCGUAGAUAUUCGGAAGAACACCAGUGGCGAAGGCGGCUCACUGGACUGGUAUUGACGCUGAGGUGCGAAAGCGUGGGGAGCGAACAGG
rnacentral:rRNA from 1 species